UGCUGUAAAAUGCCACUUGGGGCCAUCUGUGUCUUCCUUUUUCAUCACUUUAUUUUUUUCUUUCACUUAGCACAGUUUUGUGGAGGUGUGUCUCAGGUGGUUGGUCCAUCUGAGCCAGUUGUGGCAAUAGUUGGUGAUGACACUGUGUUACCAUGUCAUCUGGAUCCUGCUGUGAAUGCUGCUGAUAUGACAGUAGAGUGGACACGAUCUGACCUCACACCUAAAUUUGUGCAUGUUUGGCGAGACGGCGUGGAGCUCGUGAAUAAAAAAAAUGAAGCCUACAUGGAAAGAACAUCACUACCCAUUAACAACCUGAAGCUCGGAGACAUUUCACUAAAACUCUCCAAAGUGAAACUGUCAGAUAGGGGAUCAUACAAAUGCUUCAGUCCUGCGCUUAGUGGACAAGCUAGUGUUGAGCUUGUUGUUGGUGUAGUUUCAUCACUUACCAUCACUGUAAUGAGGAACAGUGAGGACAGCGGUAAAGUGGUGUUACAGUGUGAGUCUGCAGGCUGGUAUCCAGAGCCUGAGCUGCUGUGGUUGGACGGUGAGGGAAACCUCCUCUCUGCUGGACCUGCAGAGACCCUCAGAGGUCCUGAUGACCUCUAUACUGUCAGCAGCAGAAUGACUGUGGAGAAGAGACACAGCAACAACAUCACCUGCAGAGUCCAACAGAGGAACACCAACCGGAGCAGAGAGACACACAUACAUGUUCCAGGUGAUUUAUUUAACCCCUCAUGUAGUUCUGCGGCUCACAUCACCAUUGCUGUUGUUGUGACAGUCUUGCUAAUUCUUGCAGUUGUCUUAGUUGUGUGGAAAUAUCGUUCUAAACACCGAGAAAGAAACUUCACAAGAACGUCCUCUGAUCACACAUCACUUCAGCUCGACACUGAGGAGAAAGGAGAAACAAAGCAUCUCACCGAAGACUGUAUUGACACUGGUGACAUAAAUACAAAACAAGAAAAUCUUGAGGCUCAAAAAGAAAAACAAGCAGUAGACAAAUUUCAUUUGUUAACAGUGGUUAACUUAUUAAUGAAUCAUAAAUUUAAUUUAGAAAAAGAUAUUGAUGAACUUACUUCCGAAGUGCGGGAGCUAGAGAAACACUAA